CAUUGUUCUUUUCAUUUCUUUUUAUAAAAAGAACCCAUGUCAAGUCCAAGGCAUGGGGGAAUCAUUUGUAGGGCAUCAUCAAAUUUUCUUAUUAAUCAUUAAUGGAAAAGGUUCAUGUUCACAAUCAAUUUUGAGAUCCUUGUCUUUCAUUUAUUUAUUUCACCUUUUUUAAAAUGGAAAUUUUCUUAAAAAAUCAUUUUCAA
rnacentral:lncRNA from 1 species